rnacentral:rRNA from 1 species
ACGGAGGGUGCAAGCGUUAUCCGGAUUCACUGGGUUUAAAGGGUGCGUAGGAGGGCAGGUAAGUCAGUGGUGAAAUCUUCGAGCUUAACUCGGAAACUGCCGUUGAUACUAUCUGUCUUGAAUCCCGUGGAGAUGAGCGGAAUAUGUCAUGUAGCGGUGAAAUGCUUAGAUAUGACAUAGAACACCGAUUGCGAAGGCAGCUCGUUACACGACGAUUGACUCUGAGGCACGAAAGCGUGGGGAUCAAACAGGA